rnacentral:rRNA from 1 species
GAUGAACGCUGGCGGCGUGCCUAAUACAUGCAAGUCGAGCGAACAGACGAGGAGCUUGUUCCUCUGACGUUAGCGGCGGACGGGUGAGUAACACGUGGAUAACCUACCUAUAAGCCUGGGAUAACUUCGGGAAACCGGAGCUAAUACCGGAUAAUAUCUUGAAACACAUGGUUCAAUAGUGAAAGACGGUAUUGCUGUCCCCUAUAGUUGGAUCCGCGCCGCAUUAGCUAGUUGGUAAGGUAACGGCUUACCAAGGCAACGAUGCGUAGCCGACCUGAGAGGGUGAUCGGCCACACUGGAACUGAGACACGGUCCAGACUCCUACGGGAGGCAGCAGUAGGGAAUCUUCCGCAAUGGGCGAAAGCCUGACGGAGCAACGCCGCGUGAGUGAUGAAGGUCUUCGGAUCGUAAAACUCUGUUAUUAGGGAAGAACAAAUGUGUAAGUAACUAUGCACGUCUGGACGGUACCUAAUCAGAAAGCCACGGCUAACUACGUU